rnacentral:rRNA from 1 species
CAGCAUGGGGAAUAUUGCACAAUGGGCGCAAGCCUGAUGCAGCCAUGCCGCGUGUAUGAAGAAGGCCUUCGGGUUGUAAAGUACUUUCAGCAGUGAGGAAGGUGGAUUAUGUUAAUAGCAUAUUCAGUUUGACGUUAGCUGCAGAAGAAGCACCGGCUAACUCCGUGCCAGCAGCCGCGGUAAUACGGAGGGUGCGAGCGUUAAUCGGAAUUACUGGGCGUAAAGCGCAUGCAGGUGGUUUGUUAAGUCAGAUGUGAAAAGCCCGGGGCUCAACCUCGGAAUUGCAUUUGAAACUGGCAAACUAGAGUACUGUAGAGGGGGUAGAAUUUCAGGUGUAGCGGUGAAAUGCGUAGAGAUCUGAAGGAAUACCGGUGGCGAAGGCGGCCCCCUGGACAGAUACUGACACUCAGAUGCGAAAGCGUGGGGAGCAAACAGGAUUAGAUACCCUGGUAG